ensembl:snRNA U6 U6 spliceosomal RNA
AUGUUCGCUUCAGCAGCACAUAUACUAAAAUUGGAAUGAUACAGAGAAGAUGAGCAUGGCCCUUGAGCAAGGAUGACAUGCAAAUUCAUGAAGCAUUCCAUAUUUUU